rnacentral:misc_RNA from 1 species
GAAAUGCGAUAAGUAAUGUGAAUUGCAGAAUUCAGUGAAUCAUCGAAUCUUUGAACGCAUCUUGCGCUCCUUGGUAUUCCUUGGAGCAUGCCUGUUUGAGUAUCAUGAAAUCUUCAAAGUAAAUCUUUUGUUAACUCACUUGGUUUCUACUUUGGUAUUGGAGGUCUUUGCAGCUUCACACCUGCUCCUCUUUGUUCAUUAGCUGGAUCUCAGUGUUAUGCUUGGUUCCACUCGGCGUGAUAAGUUAUCUAUCGCUGAGGACACUGUAAAAGGUGGCCAAGGUAAAUGCAGAUGAACCGCUUCUAAUAGUCCAUUGACUUGGACAAUACUUUUAUGAUCUGAUCUCAAAUCAGGUAGGACUACCCGCUGAACUUAAGC